GCGAUUAUUUAUUAUGACCUAGUAACUAAGACCAAGGGUCAAGUCUUGUUUUAAUUUUAAUGAAAACCAUUUUAUAUGAAAAACUAGCUGACCCGGCAAACGUUGUUUUGCCAUGUAUAUUAUUUCUAGGAAACAUUUUUUUAGUACAAUAAAAAUAACCACGGAAUAGAUAAAUAACUCUCUACUAUAAGUGUGCGGGGAUAUAUUUAUAAUUGAAAGCAUUAUCUAUGUAUUAAUACGUGAAGCAAAAACUUUGUAUCCCUUAUUACGAAAAUUGUGCGGACGGAGGCUUAUGAAAUUUCUCACACUAUUACGGUAUAGAGAAUAUAGUGAAGGAGUGCAUAAUGCUAUUUUUUUUUUAAUUAUGCAUUAAUUAUACCUUAAAUCAAUAAAAAAACAUUACACACGCUACCAUGUAUUUGACACAAACAGAGUAACAUCAGAUUUUUUAUUAUAAAGCAUGACAAAUAAAAAUAAAAAUGAAAAUCUUGCCGAAAAAAUUAAAGUUUAUAAUUAACAAAUACAAAAAAAGGGGUUGAUCGUAGAGGGGUGAAAAAUUCACAGUAAUAUGAUUUUUUUUAUUCUAAGUCAUGACAUAAUAAAAACAAAAUUCUUGCAAAAAAAAAAGUAUUAAAUUAAUUAUUAAAUAAAUAUUAUUUAAAAAAUUCAAUUUAGGGGUGGACCACCCUUAACAUUUAGGGGGAUGAAAAAUAGAUGUUGUUCGAUUCUUCACCUUGGCCGAUAUGCACGCUAAGAUUCACGAAAAUCGGUCGAGCCGUUUCGGAGGAGUUCAAUCACGCACACCGUGACAUGAGAAUUUUAUAUAUUAAAAUUAUUAGAUGAUACUGGGAACACCACGUGAUGUUGACUUUUUGCUGUGUUUUCUUCGAUCAACAAUAGUAACUAGAUUUCGGGUCGGUGCAUAAAAUCCGUCUCGUCAAAUAACAGCGCACUUGAAAUGUGAGCUCUUAUUUUGUUUAGUUCACUUCAAACACAGCCAAUGUCAACCCGUCUCACAAUACCGCAGUGUGUAUUCAAAAGUUGCAAAAAUAAGGCCCGAAAAAGCAAUUUAACGACCGGAGUAUCUUACUUUCGCUUUCCUAGCAAUCACGUGUGCAGAAUGGAUCUCGAUUGUCGCCAGAGAAACAAGAGAUGACUUUUAUAAGCCAUCUAAGAACUCCGCUUAUUGACACUGGACAUCUUUGCCUUCCGUGCUCACAGCUACUGAAAUGUGGCCGAAACAUUGUAAUAAAAAUACCACGCUUGAAACCGUUUAAACGUUGUUUUAUUAUGUGCACUGGUCGCGAAAACUUAAAAAUAUAUAUUACACAAAAACGUAACGCUAAUAAAAUAAUAAGUAAUGUAUAGAUACUAACAAACAUACAUUUCCAAAACAUAAAAAGUAAACAACUAAACUUUUACUUUAAUUCAUUAAUAAAUUAUUUUAGUGUUAAGCGCGACUCCCUUACCUCCUGUAGUAAAUAGAAAUCGGCAUUUCAAGAA